CAUUGCCUUCAAAAUACUGGGAGUCACUGAUGGAGAGAGAAAGUAAAAAACAAUUUGCUACAGUGGAAUGAAUGGUACUACAGAUGUCAGUGACAUGUAGACUUACUGUGAAAUAAUGAAAGUUACCUUACAGCAUCAGUGAAAUAACUAAAAAAGUAAUUCCAGUGGAAAUAACAAUAAUUGCAUAACAAAGUGAUGCCAUCAAUUUAUUUCCUGGUAACUGGGUGCAGUCACUGAAAUGAGUUAUACUAGUCACACAUGGAGUUAAUGAAUCUUUAGUUUAUUAUACGAUUAGCCACGAGUGUUGUCUUUCCUGUGAGAGCUGAAGUGAAGUUGAGCUCGGGAACUACUUGGUGUAAUGUGGCGGGACUGCAACAUGAGAACUCCUAUGAAAUCAGCUGCCUUGACCAAGGUUCAGUGAGGAUACCCCAGGAAGCAUAAUUCUGGAACAUCGCUGAUAACAAUAAGUGUGGCUUCUGUAUUAAACCUGC